rnacentral:lncRNA from 1 species
UCCUCUGCCCGUGCUGCUGAUUCUCCUCUUCCGCUGAUCCAAGUGACUGUGCUGUGCUGCUGCUGAUUAGAACAAUUUUGCUCCUCUGCACUCUGAAGAAGGUACUCCGUCAGAGUAUUGUACCUGAAAAUUAAUGAAGUUGAUUUAGUGUUAACUGAAUCAUGACAUUGCCAAUAAAGGAGUAAAUUCAAUUGAUAACUUAAAAUUCAUGGAGUACAUUCAUUUUAAUACAAAAACUGUUGCUGAUCAUUGUGAAAAAAAAUCAUGGAUUGCUGUUAACUGAAAAUUAGUGAAAGAAACUGUUGCUGAUCAUGGAUUACUGUUAAUUAAAAACCGAUGCUUGUUCACACAUAAAAGAAGCUUCACCUUCUAGGCCCUCCACUUUGUCAGAUUGCAGUGAUACAGAGGCUGCUACCUGGUUUAAACAAGGUAAAGAUCAGAUAUUGAUGAUUCCUCAUGUAAGGCAAGAUACAAGAAACUAGCUGAAUUUAAAAUUACACCAUCAUCAUUACAGAAAGGAGAAUAGAUUAUCACAUUAUCAGUUCAUAUACAACCAGUUGCUGGAAGAACUGUAGAAAAGAGACCACUAAAUCUAAUGAUAAAAUCAGGUGCUCUAUAAAC